rnacentral:rRNA from 1 species
AUUCCCCUUGAACGAGGAAUUCCUAGUAGGCGCCAGUCAUCAGCUGGCGUCGAUUCAGUCCCUGCCCUUUGUACACACCGCCCGUCCCUACUACCGAUCGCUCUUGUUAAUGAGCCUGUCGGAUGGGACCCGGUGAGCGGGCCUUCGGGCCUGCGAGCUCUGGUGUUUGCCUAGAAGACCGGCGAAUUAUCCGGGGUAGAGGAAGUAAAAGUCGUAACAAGGUAUCCGUAGGUGAACCUGCGGAUGGAUCA